rnacentral:tRNA from 1 species
AGUAGAGUAAGCUAAUAUUUAAGCUGUUGGGUUCAUACCCCAAAAAUGAAUUUUGAUUCCUUUAUUA